GGUCUACAUCAGAUCUACAUCAGGUCAGGACUUUAUCAGGUCUAAAUCAGGACUUUAUCACGUCUACAUCAGGUCUAAAUCAGGACUCUAUCAGGUCUACAUCAGGUCUAAAUCAGGACUUUAUCAGGUCUAAAUCAGGACUCUAUCAGGUCUACAUCAGGUCUAAAUCAGGACUCUAUCAGGUCUACAUCAGGUCUAAAUCAGGACUCUAUCAGGUCUACAUCAGGUCUAAAUCAGGACUCUAUCAGGUCUACAUCAGGUCUAAAUCAGGACUCUAUCAGGUCUACAUCAGGACUCUAUCAGGUCUAAAUCAGGACUUUAUCAGGUCUAAAUCAGGACUCUAUCAGGUCUACAUCAGGUCUAAAUCAGGACUCUAUCAGGUCUACAUCAGGACUUUAUCAGGUCUAAAUCAGGACUCUAUCAGGUCUAAAUCAGGACUCUAUCAGGUCUAAAUCAGGACUUUAUCAGGUCUAAAUCAGGACUCUAUCAGGUCUAAAUCAGGACUUUAUCAGGUCUAAGUCAGGACUCUAUCACGUCUACAUGAGGUCUACAUCAGUACUCCACCUGGUCUACAUCAGGACUUAUGACUUGACAAAGACUUGACUUUUUUGACUUGCAAUGAGUUAGUCCCACAUCUGACUCCAGGGACAGAAAGUCCAGGUCCUCACAGGGUCUGAAACCUACCUCUAG